GCCCCCCCCCCCCCCACACACACACAAACAAAGAGGCGUUAGGCUGAGACGCUGAAAGUCCGGAUUUAAAGUGCAGAAAAUUAAGCCAUUGAAUCUGCCUGUCCAUGACGUACAAAGACACACUAUGAGCCAGUAUGAUCCGACCAGACCUUACAUCAGCAUUGAGGAGUUGUCGGAGAAGAAAGAGGCUGAUUGAAGCGGGACAGAUGACAUGGAUCCAUCCUUCCACAGCCAGGAGUGCACCGACCUGUGUCCCACACUUCAUAUAAGACUGGAAGCUACACUGAUCUCACAGCUACACACCACAGACGUCUACACACUGGAGAAGAGUCCCACAAAGAAGUCAUGACCCAGAGGCUGCAGAGAAACAUUUCAAGCCUCAUCUGAGUUUUUGUACAAUAUUUUUGCUGUAUGUAAAUAAAGCUUUCACUCCACAUA